UGGAGGUGUUUUGUAAAGAUUGGCCUACAGAGGGUGCUAGCUCACUUCAAGAAAAAAAAAAAAAAAAAAAAAAAAAAAAAAAAAAAAAAACAACUAAAAGAGCCAAGGAGCUGCCCUGGAGCCUGGGAAGAAAAAGCAAGGCAAUCAGGGAGAUGUAACAACUGAAGAGAGGUUUAUAGCUUCACAAUUUCUUUUUUGCUUUAAAACCAAAGUGAAUGAAAGAGUAAAAUAAUACAUCGAUUUGUGAAGAGACACAGGAAGUCCUCUCCUGAAGAAAAGCAAUGGCAUUGGGGCUGAGUCUUUCAGUCCAAGGAGAAGCCAGAUGAGGAGACGAUGCAGGAGAGGAGGCAGGCCACCGGCACUGGAAGAACAAUCUCCCCCAAGGCAGCAGCAAAACAUAGAAGGACAACUUGGACCUUCCUCCACCAUCCUGCAUAGAAGCUGAAUAAAGGAAUUCUCCAAUCUAUCUUGUCUGAGAGUGGGUCCCCAAGGGGUCCUGCCCUAUACCCAGGAGGAAGGACUGCUUCCCAAAGGGACCAAGAAGGCUCAGAAUGGACAGGUCUUCCUGAAUUUCCUCCAAGUCAGACCAAUACAUUUCUAAACUGCUGUCAAUUCUGCACUUAACAUGUGUGUGUAUGUGUGUGUGUGU
rnacentral:lncRNA from 1 species